UACGAAGGGGGCUAGCGUUGUUCGGAAUUACUGGGCGUAAAGGGCUCGUAGGUGGCCAACUAAGUCAGACGUGAAAUCCCUCGGCUUAACCGGGGAACUGCGUCCGAUACUGGAUGGCUUGGAUUUGGGAGAGGGAUGCGGAAUUCCAGGUGUAGCGGUGAAAUGCGUAGAUAUCUGGAGGAACACCGGUGGCGAAGGCGGCAUCCUGGACCAAUAUUGACGCUGAGGAGCGAAAGCCAGGGGAGCAAACGGG
rnacentral:rRNA from 1 species